CACAGAGCCAUUUACCGUUUCACUCAGGUGAAGAAGGAUUUGGACAAAUAAAGGACGAGGAUGAAUAAUGGGUGAAUAAUUCCUGGCAAAUCCACAGGACGACUGCGCGGCGCUUGAUUACGAGUCCUGCUCUGUUCGAGUCUUUAUGGGGAAGAAAAAAAGAAAUUAAAACAGAAAUAUAAAAUGAAAGUUCAUGAGGGCUGC
rnacentral:lncRNA from 1 species